UAGUCAGAAAGCUAUCGGUAU
rnacentral:piRNA from 1 species